rnacentral:rRNA from 1 species
AUUGAACGCUGGCGGCAUGCUUUACACAUGCAAGUCGAACGGCAGCGCGGGCUUCGGCCUGGCGGCGAGUGGCGAACGGGUGAGUAAUGCAUCGGAACGUGCCCAGUAGUGGGGGAUAGCCCGGCGAAAGCCGGAUUAAUACCGCAUACGACCUGAGGGUGAAAGCGGGGGACCGAAAGGCCUCGCGCUAUUGGAGCGGCCGAUGUCGGAUUAGCUAGGUGGUGGGGUAAAGGCUUACCAAGGCGACGAUCCGUAGCUGGUCUGAGAGGAAGACCAGCCACACUGGGACUGAGACACGGCCCAGACUCCUACGGGAGGCAGCAGUGGGGAAUUUUGGACAAUGGGGGCAACCCUGAUCCAGCCAUGCCGCGUGAGGGAAGAAGGCCUUCGGGUUGUAAACCGCUUUUGUUCGGGAAGAAAUACUCUGGGCUAAUACCCCGGGGGGAUGACGGUACCGGAAGAAUAAGCACCGGCUAACUACGUG